rnacentral:rRNA from 1 species
GACGAACGCUGGCGGCGUGCUUAACACAUGCAAGUCGAACGGAAAGGCCCUGCUUUUGUGGGGUGCUCGAGUGGCGAACGGGUGAGUAACACGUGAGUAACCUGCCCUUGACUUUGGGAUAACUUCAGGAAACUGGGGCUAAUACCGGAUAGGAGCUCCUGCUGCAUGGUGGGGGUUGGAAAGUUACGGCGGUUGGGGAUGGACUCGCGGCUUAUCAGCUUGUUGGUGGGGUAGUGGCUUACCAAGGCUUUGACGGGUAGCCGGCCUGAGAGGGUGACCGGCCACAAUAGGACUGAGAUACGGCCCAGACGGCUACGGGAGGCAGCGGUGGGGAGUAUGGCACAGUGGGCGGAAGCCUGAUGCAGCAACGCCGCGUGCGGGAUGACGGGCUUCGGGUUGUGAACCGCUUUCGACUGUGACGAAGCGUGAGUGACGGUAAUGGGUAAAGAAGCACCGGCUAACUACGUG